rnacentral:lncRNA from 1 species
CGGCCAACGGUACCUCCGCGGCACCAAAGUCCAUUCCUCAUGGAUACAUCGAGGACGGACAUGACUGACGACACAACAGUCGCAACCGUUGCUCAAGGUUGCUACUGUUCUCCUCUUGCACCCAUCUUCAUUGUUGACUGAACCUGAAUGGACGGUAACCUUCUUCUCGCCCUCUGCAUUGCAGGUCUGAUUAAGCUCUAGUCUCCUUCACUUUUACCUUCCCACUUGUUUCUGCCUUCCGGUAUUCUUUGUUUUCCACUAGCGUGUGAUACAUGAGUGCAAGGUGCUCGAUGAAAGGUCGGCAAGGAGUCCACUACUAGGAGAUCAAUGCUUGUGGGGGGCAAUGCAGUUGGAUCUGCUGGCACAAAGUGGCACAGGUUAGUGCCUGCUCCCACAUGGCUUGCAAUUGGCAUUGAUAUCUAGAUUUUUCAGCUCUUUAGAAACACCAUCCAACUCGCUGGAGAUGUGCUGAUAGGCGAGCUUUCUGGGAGAAACAAUGUGUGCAUUAUACUGAACUCCAUUCACCAGAUCAACAUAUAUAUAGGCUGCGUUCUUUUCUCAGUUCAACAGUGAUUACGGAAAACGGAGCGAUCCAUUAGCACAUGAUUAAUUAAGUAUCUGCUAUUCUUUUUUAAAAAAAUGGACUAAUAUGAUUUUUUUAAGUAACUUUCGUAUAGAAACUUUUUACAGAAAAAUGCACCGUUUAGUAGUUUGAAAAGCGUGCUAACGGAAAACGAGGACUAGAACUGAGAAAAGAACGCAGCCAUAGUGGUAUAAAUUUAGUCCUUUUUUAUGUGUUUAUACCUUGGUUCAUCUUCAUGUCUGUAAGCAAUGUUGGCAAUUCAGCAUUUUUUGAGAGAAAUGAUAUCAUAUUGAAAGGUCCACGAGUUCAGCAUUUUCUGUAAGUGUCUGUUUAACUCAUAUGCAUGUUGCAGGGGUUCCACGAGGACGCUAACGACCGUGUGAUUUAUUAGUGGAAAAAAUGCUUCAGCCCAAAUUGGUCUACUGUUUUCAGUCAAUGUGAAAGGAAGCUUAAUGAUAUCAAUGUAUAUAUGGGAGUUUAGAGGAGUUUUGGGUUUGAGGAGCACUCUGUUUCUUCACUUUAGUCUCUCUCUUCCAGCCUAUUUAUGAUUGGAGAACUCUUAUUGCAGGAAUUGUCAUUUAAAAAGAGAAGGGUUUGUCAAACUAAUUCCUUUUUGCUACAGCUUUCAGUACUGUCCAUUAAAUCUGAUGUGCUUCUAAUUAAUCUUAUACACAAUAUGCCAAAAUUUCAGCAUUUUAAACACUGUUGCUUUCAUUUGCAGAACAAUAAUUGGUUAAUAAAACUAACACUAUAUUUCCAUUACCAGCUGGUCUGAUGAGUGGUAAUUAAUUAGUUGGGUGUUGCAAAUAUACAGGUAGAGAGAUAGCAGAAAGGUAUGCCAAUCAGAGAUCUUGUGGGAAUUCUCAUCUGUACUAUCUCUCUACCUGCAUAGAUUAUAUUGGAGUAUUGCAUAAUCUCACAAAAAUGAUGGGUCUUCAGAAGGAAUUCUAGAGAUAUUUUUGAAGGAAUUCUAGAGAUAAGUCUACGUGUGUUGAAAAUUGGGGAGUUUGGCACAAGGAUGGAAGAAGAUGGGAACAUCUAAAAUUGGGGAGUUUGGCACAAGGAUGGAAGAAGAUGGGAACAUCUGUACUAUGGUAGUAUGGUCUAUGUGAGAUUAUGCAAUACUUCAAUAUAAGAAUGGGAGAAGAUGUGAACUCUGGUUCUCUGAAUUAUUUAAGUCACCAGCAAUAACAUUACGACGAAGUAGUACAGCAAGAUUUUAGGCAUUGGCUAACCUUUUCUGAUCCAUGCAAUGGUGAUGGAAAAAUCAUAGUUGCAAGCCAAGAAUUAACUGGACAAUAUGAAGAUACAUAUAUGAAAUUUGUGAUUUUUCUUUGUAUAGAGAGUCUUUUUAAUGGAUAACCUCGCUCUGCAUCUUACUCUGCCACUGAGGCCACUACCCAUCUUAAGAGGAUAUGAUUUUAAUCUGCG